rnacentral:rRNA from 1 species
UACGUAGGUGGCAAGCGUUAUCCGGAUUCACUGGGUUUAAAGGGUGCGUAGGAGGGCAGGUAAGUCAGUGGUGAAAUCCCCGAGCUUAACUUGGGAACUGCCGUUGAUACUAUCUGUCUUGAAUACCGUGGAGGUGAGCGGAAUAUGUCAUGUAGCGGUGAAAUGCUUAGAUAUGACAUAGAACACCAAUUGCGAAGGCAGCUCGCUACACGAAUAUUGACUCUGAGGCACGAAAGCGUGGGGAUCAAACAGG